rnacentral:misc_RNA from 1 species
CGACUUCCAGAUGCUAAAAAAGGUGUUAAUCUUUAAUUAAUCUCACUUUUUUGAUUCAUCAAGCCAUAUGCAUUCUAAAAUUUUUGGAUUGUAGCUUUUAAAUUAAUUCUGUGAAUGAUAAUUUUCGCACUUCUGAGUUAUAUCUUUUUAUGUUAAUGCUGCGAAUGAUAAAUUUUGAACUUCACUAAUAAUGUGGCAUAGAAUGAUGGGGAAGGUUUCCCUGUAUUGCAGGUUUGGAAGAUUAUAUGUUGGUUAAUGAUGCAAAUAUUGGCUUAUAAGCUAACACCAGCAAGAAACUAAAAUUAGAUUUCUAGUAUGAUUAUAUGUUGCAUCCUAAGUUUCCAAUGCUUAAUUACAAUGAGAUGCUACAAUUUCAACACCCUUAAUUUGCAAUUGUAUAGUGAAGUGCUUGUUUGGAUGACAACUUGUGAGAAAGAGAGUGUGUAAUAGUUGUUAAAUUGAGAAUCGAAAUCUUCAUUUAGUGAAUGGAGAAUCGAGUCGAAUCAUAGGGUUUGAUAAAAAUUUUCAAAAUUAAUUAAAAAUGAUAUGUGUUCUUAAAAAAUAAGUAAAAGAAAAUAUAUCACAAUUAUAUAUUUUGAUAAAUAUAGAAUUAUCGUUUAGCUAAUGAGAAGGAUGCUUAAAAUAGCACUAUACAUUCUUAUUAUGUUAUGCGAUUAUAUGUUAUAAAUUAUGAACUGUUGAGUUGUUGACAAUGAUUACCAUUAUGCAUGUGUUGAAACUCCUAUUUAAAUUUGAUCAAAUAAUUAAAUAAUAAAAAAGAAUAGUGUGUUAAAUUAAAAGGUUAGAAUAUAUUAAUAUAAAAUGUCAUAAUUUGACAACUAUAAUUAGAGAAGUAUAUUAACAAAAAGGAAAAAGAAAAGAGAAAGAAAACGAAAGAAGGAGAGGAAAAAGAAUGGCUAGUGGAAUAAAAAAUAGCUAAGGAUGGUUUUAUUUGCACUUUUCACUAUAAAAAAUGAAGUGGAAUAUUAAGGUUGCGUUUGACAUUAUUGUUUUUUUGUUUUUGGUAAAACUUGUUCGUCCAAAUUGUUUCAUUUAUUUUUGUGAUCACUUUUAUAGAAUCAUUUCAAAAAUGAAAUAGGAAAAAGUAAAACAUCAAAAUCAUGGUUUUUCUUUGAAGUUUUUAGUUUCUGCCUUUCAAUCAAAUUCUUCACUCUUCCCAAAUAUUUCUCUUUGUGAUUACAACUUCAUUACCCAAUCACACUCUGUCACUUUCAUCUUCCCAAAUAUUUCUCUGUGUGAUUCAUGGUUUCAAAAAACGGCCGUUAUUUAUAGGUUUUUU